rnacentral:rRNA from 1 species
UUAAGUCAGGCAACGAGCGAGACCCACGCCCACAGUUGCCAGCGUACUCUCUGGAGUGACGGGUACACUGUGGGGACCGCCGCUGCUAAAGCGGAGGAAGGAAUGGGCAACGGUAGGUCAGUAUGCCCCGAAUAUCCCGGGCUACACGCGAGCUACAAUGGUUGGUACAAUGGGUAUCUACCCCGAAAGGGGACGGGAAUCUCCUAAAACCAAUCUUAGUUCGGAUUGAGGGCUGCAACUCGCCCUCAUGAAGCUGGAAUCCGUAGUAAUCGCGUUUCAACAGAACGCGGUGAAUACGUCCCUGCUCCUUGCACACACCGCCCGUCAAACCACCCGAGUAGGGUCUGAAUGAG